CUGCUACUGAGGAGUCCUACAAUAGGACGAAACAUCCGUCAAGCAG
rnacentral:hammerhead_ribozyme from 1 species